rnacentral:sRNA from 1 species
UUUUAAAGAAAUGAAUUAAUUUACUCUUUAAAAUUUUAUUUCUAAUGGCAUACCUAUGUAAUUACUUACAAAAAAUAAGGUUAUAUUUAAAAUGUACUUCCCAAAUAAUAUAGUAGGAUAUUCAUUUUGGACAUAUAUAUAUAUAUAUAUUUAUUUAUUUAUUU